rnacentral:rRNA from 1 species
GAGUUCCUACCGGGGGCAGCAGUCGAGAAUCAUUCACAAUGGGGGAAACCCUGAUGGUGCGACGCCGCGUGGGGGAAUGAAGGUCUUCGGAUUGUAAACCCCUGUCAUGUGGGAGCAAAUUAAAAAGAUAGUACCACAAGAGGAAGAGCCGGCUAACUCUGUGCCACCAGCCGCGGUAAUACAGAGGUCUCAAGCGUUGUUCGGAAUCACUGGGCGUAAAGCGUGCGUAGGCUGUUUCGUAAGUCGUGUGUGAAAAGCGCGGGCUC